rnacentral:rRNA from 1 species
UACGGAGGAUGCGAGCGUUAUCCGGAUUUAUUGGGUUUAAAGGGUGCGUAGGCGGGCUUUUAAGUCAGAGGUAAAAAUUCGGGGCUCAACCCCGUCCGGCCGUUGAAACUGGGGGCCUUGAGUGGGCGAGAAGAAGGCGGAAUGCGUGGUGUAGCGGUGAAAUGCAUAGAUAUCACGCAGAACCCCGAUUGCGAAGGCAGCCUUCCGGCGCCCUACUGACGCUGAGGCACGAAAGUGCGGGGAUCGAACAGG